CGAAAACGUUGCCCACCGUGUCAAAGGUGCCACUAGCCAGAUUCCCCGACUGCUGGCCAUAUCUGAAAUAGCAGAUAAAUUUUUCUUUUUCGAAGGCGAAAGAAACCUAGUGAUUACUUUUAAUUCGGACGAAAAUUCGUAAUGAAAUAUGUUACAAAACUGAAUAAGCA
rnacentral:sRNA from 1 species